rnacentral:tRNA from 2 species
AGGCGGGUAGCUCAGUUGGGAGAGCGCCGCCCUUACAAGGCGGAGGUCGCGGGUUCGAGUCCCGCCCCGCCUACCA